AACGAACGCUGGCGGCAGGCUUAACACAUGCAAGUCGAGCGCCUCGCAAGGGGAGCGGCAGACGGGUGAGUAACGCGUGGGAAUCUACCCAUCCCUAGGGGAUAACACAGAGAAAUUUGUGCUAAUACCCUAUACGUCCUUCGGGAGAAAGAUUUAUCGGGGAUGGAUGAGCCCGCGUCGGAUUAGCUAGUUGGUGGGGUAAUGGCCUACCAAGGCGACGAUCCGUAGCUGGUCUGAGAGGAUGAUAAGCCACACUGGGACUGAGAAAGGGACCAGGCUCCUACGAGAGGCAGCAGUGGGGAAUAUUGGGUGAUGGGGGCAAGCCUGAUGCAGCAAUGCCGCGUGGAGGUAGAAGGCCCACGGGUCAUGAACGUCUUUUCCCGGGGAAGAAGCAAUGACGGUAUCUGGGGAAUAAGCAUCGGCUAACUCUGUGCCAGCCGCCGCGGUAACAC
rnacentral:rRNA from 1 species